AUGAGACGUGGCUGGAACACAAAGUCCCGUCGGUGUCCUGCGCAUGUGCAGGUUCCCUUAAACAUCGUGUGCUUUCUAAGUCAUACUUGCAUAAGAGGAAUUCCACAAACGUUCCUUGCCUGUUCACUCAUUCUUGGAUGUUGCAUGACUCUUUGUCUGCACUACUUGAUUCAUAGUUGCCAUUCAAAUCUAGGGACUUAUCAUAGCGAUGAAUGGGCUUGGCAACUCCUUCCCCACAAAACUCUGCCGCUUGCGUCCUCAAUGCAGUGUUUUGGCGACAAUGCAAAGCUACGGGAAGGGGUGAUGGGCUGGUUGAGGAAGCAAGUGGCAGAGUUUUGUCUGGAAGGAGUUGCCAAGCUCAUUCAUCACUAUGAGAAGUGCCUAGAUUUGAAUGGCGACUAUGUUGAGAAGUGGUAUUUGGGUGUGGCUUUCAACUGCAUAGUAAACUGCAUGGUAAAUGUUUUCUCCUAUACUUUGUUCAUUUUUAAUUCCAAAAUGUAAUCUACUUUCUGGUAGAUAUAUUGGACUCCCUCAAAGGUUCCUCAAGCAGCUUGGCUUCCAGAAUAUUUAAUAUGUGGCUCACUUUCUUUGGGAUAUAGACUCCAAUGACCAACAUCUUCCCCCAACUCUGCUUUCCAAAACAGACAGUAUUCUAGCCGACCAAACUGGAAUAGAAUCAGACUGUUCUAUGUCUCUUGAUCUGAAGGCUACGAUUGUGUUACUAUGGCUUUUUCUGAUAGAUACUGCAUCCCGUGGUUGGGUUACGGCUCACUUGUGGUCAAUCUGUCAAUCAAGCAACCCACCAUCCAGCCUUUUCUGCAUCCAGAGAGAAACGGAAGGCCUGCUUACCUUUUUGCAGAGAACCAUCUGGUGAUCAAAGAGGAAGAACACGCGCUGCUGGCUUCGUCCGUAGGGCUGAUAAAUCCAGGACAUUUCCCCGGUGUAGAUCAGCUCGGAACUGCGGUCCAAGAUGUCAUCCCCCUGGAAGACCAGAAAAGACGGUGGGAAAUUGGCCACGACAAGGCUCUGGGCAACAUCUUGAGUCUAGUGUUGGAGGAAGCCCAAGAUGGAACAGACACAGAUCUAGCACUGAAGUAAGACUGCUACAUAAUUUGGGAAUUGAUCAGAGACUUAAGAACUGUGUUUACCCAAAGACUUCUUUGCUUUCUUUUGCAUUAUACCACUGAGUGUGCUGUUCUUUAUGUUUUGCUGAAGUAAAGCAGUUUUCGUUUAUUUAUCACAUUGUUUUAAGGCUGUUCUUGAAAGACAAAACAGGACACUUAGCUGCGGCAGCUCCCGCCUCCUAGGUCAAUGAUGGGCAACCUUUUGCGCUCGGUGUGUCAAAAUUCACCAAAAACCUAGCAUGACUUGGGGUGUGUGUCACUUCGAGAAAAAAAACCAUAAUUUCGCACUAUGUAUAGCUUAAAUAACAAAAAUGUACAAUUGUAAUAUAUAACUGUAUUUAAUAAAUCAAAAACUAUUUACUACCAUGAUUUCCAUGUACAACAAUCUAUGGUACCUCUUGCAGUUUCCAUGCUGAUUUCUCUCUAUUCUAGUGUCAAUGUAGUCCUGAAUAAUGAAUAAUAAUAUAGUAAUAUAAUAAUAAUAUGAUAAUAUACUACAAUAAUAAUAGAAUAAUAAUAGAAUGAUAUAAUAUAACCUCUCUCUAUAUACAGUAGAGUCUCACUUAUCCAACGUUCUGGAUUAUCCAACGCAUUUUUGUAGUCAAUGUUUCCAAUAUAUCAUGAUAUUUUGGUGCUAAAUUCAUAAAUACAGUAAUUACUACAUAGCAUUACUGCGUAUUGAACUACUUUUUCUGCCAAAUUUGUUGUCUAACAUGAUGUGUUGGUGCUUCAUUUUGUAAAAUCAUAACCGUAAUUUGAUGUUAAAUAGGCUUUUCCUUAAUG
ensembl:lncRNA